rnacentral:rRNA from 1 species
AUGCGUGUCCACCGAGAGUUUCAUGAGCGCAAGAAGUUUCCGCCUUACCAACUUGUGAGUACGCGCGGGUGGGUGUCCAUUUCCAAGCGAUGGAGGGUGAUCCAACAAGAGUGCAACAAGUUUUACGCCACUCUUGAGAGCGUCAAGGCCCGCCCCGUGAGCGGCAUUGUCAUGCAAGACAUGGCAUUUCAAACUCUGGAGACAUUCAAGGUUCAAUACAAUGGCAAGUGCUUCAACCUCUCCCAUUGCUUUCAGGUCAUCAAGGAUGAGGAGAAGUUCAAGGCGCAAUAUGCCGCCCUCAAGUCGCAUGGGGGGAAGCAAACCGUGGAGGAGGUUGGGGAGGGCGAGCCGGCAUGGCCGCGGGGGAAGACCAACUCCAAGAAGAAGGACAAGCGGGAUGCGACAUCCAACGCCUUGAUCGCAAGCAGGCUUGAGAUGGACGUGGAGAAGCAAGCCAAGAUGUUCGAGCUCGAGGCGGAGAAGCAAGCCAAGAUGCUAGAGAUCGAGGCCGUCAACGCCAAGACCAAGGCCAAAGAAGUGGCUCUCGCGAGCAUGAUGACCGGAGUGGAGAUCAUGAAGGUGGAUCUCAACACCGUGUCGCCAAGAAAGAGGUCGUGGUUCGAGAAGAUGCAGGCCGACAUGCUCAAGUUCGACGACGAGUGA